AUUGAACGCUGGCGGCAUGCCUUACACAUGCAAGUCGAACGGUAACGCGGGGCAACCUGGCGACGAGUGGCGAACGGGUGAGUAAUGCAUCGGAACGUGCCCAGUAGUGGGGGAUAGCCCGGCGAAAGCCGGAUUAAUAUCGCAUACGACCUACGGGCGAAAGGGGGGGAUCGCAAGACCUCUCGCUAUUGGAGCGGCCGAUGUCCGAUUAGGGAGUUGGUGGGGUAAAGGCCUACCAAGCCGACGAUCUGUAGCUGGUCUGAGAGGACGACCAGCCACACUGGGACUGAGACACGGCCUAGACUCCUACGGGAGGCAGCAGUGGGGAAUUUUGGACAAUGGGCGCAAGCCUGAUCCAGCCAUGCCGCGUGCGGGAAGAAGGCCUUCGGGUUGUAAACCGCUUUUGUCAGGGAAGAAAUCUUCUGGGUUAAUACCUCGGGAGGAUGACGGUACCUGAAGAAUAAGCACCGGCUAACUACGUGCCAGCAGCCGCCGUAAGAC
rnacentral:rRNA from 1 species